GACGUAGGGGGCAAGCGUUGUCCGGAUUUAUUGGGCGUAAAGAGCGUGUAGGCGGCCAAGCAGGUCCGCUGUGAAAACCCGAGGCUCAACCUCGGGCCUGCAGUGGGUACGGGCAGACUAGAGGUGCGGUAGGGGAGAUUGGAAUUCCUGGUGUAAGCGGUGGAAUGCGCAGAUAUCAGGAGGAACACCAAUGGCGAAGGCAGGAUCUCUGGGCCGUAACUGACGCUGAGGAGCGAAAGCAUGGGGAGCGAACAGG
rnacentral:rRNA from 1 species